rnacentral:misc_RNA from 1 species
GAUGAAGAACGUAGCGAAAUGCGAUAAGUAGUGUGAAUUGCAGAAUUCAGUGAAUCAUCGAAUCUUUGAACGCACAUUGCGCCCCUUGGUAUUCCAUGGGGCAUGCCUGUUCGAGCGUCAUUUGUACCUUCAAGCUCUGCUUGGUGUUGGGUGUUUGUCUCGCCUCUGCGUGUAGACUCGCCUCAAAACAAUUGGCAGCCGGCGUAUUGAUUUCGGAGCGCAGUACAUCUCGCGCUUUGCACUCAUAACGACGACGUCCAAAAGUACAUUUUUACACUCUUGACCUCGGAUCAGGUAGGGAUCCCCGCUGAACUUAGGCAUAUCAAUAAGCGGAGGA